UACACUAGUACAGAAAACACUUUUUACAUCUGGCCAAAACCCCAUUUUACAUCUGACCCCAGUCAGAGGUAGACGUACAAGAAGUAGUAAGUUUACGCUUUUUACAUCUGACAUUCGCCAGAUGUAAAAUUACCCCCUUUUACCUCUGUUCUCGUGUUUCAGCUGACCAUUUUUUUUUUUAAUUAAAUUGAGCCUUUUACAUCUGACCAAG
rnacentral:lncRNA from 1 species